AUUUGUCUGGUUAAUUCCGUUAACGAACGAGACCACAGCCUACUAAAUAGUGUGCGGUAUGGCAACAUAGCGUGGAGACUUCUUAGAGGGACAUUUCGGGUUUACCGAAAGGAAGUUUGUGGCAAUAACAGGUCUGUGAUGCCCUUAGAUGUUCUGGGCCGCACGCGCGCUACACUGACGAAUUCAACGAGCUUUUAUUUCUUUGAAACUAAAUUCCUUUAUCGGAAGAUAUGGGUAAUCUUUUAAUGUGCAUCGUGAUGGGGCUAGAUUUUUGCAAUUAUUAAUCUCCAACGAGGAACC
rnacentral:rRNA from 1 species